rnacentral:rRNA from 1 species
GGCAUCAGUAUUCAAUUGUCAGAGGUGAAAUUCUUGGAUUUAUUGAAGACUAACUACUGCGAAAGCAUUUGCCAAGGAUGUUUUCAUUAAUCAGGAACGAAAGUUAGGGGAUCGAAGACGAUCAGAUACCGUCGUAGUCUUAACCAUAAACUAUGCCGACUAGGGAUCGGACGGUGUUAUUUUUUGACCCGUUCGGCACCUUACGAGAAAUCAAAGUGCUUGGGCUCCAGGGGGAGUAUGGUCGCAAGGCUGAAACUUAAAGAAAUUGACGGAAGGGCACCACCAGGGGUGGAGCCUGCGGCUUAAUUUGACUCAACACGGGGAAACUCACCAGGUCCAGACACAAUGAGGAUUGACAGAUUGAGAGCUCUUUCUUGAUUUUGUGGGUGGUGGUGCAUGGCCGUUCUUAGUUGGUGGAGUGAUUUGUC